rnacentral:lncRNA from 1 species
CCGGGUUUAUGCUUCCUGCACGUAGCUCCUUACAUUUCAAAAGACUCUUAACCAGGGAGAGUUUUUGGACUUGUUUUAAUAAGGGGGGAAGGUUUGGGGAUGAGGAGGAGCAACUUAUUGAGGAGAAGAGAGAGAAAAAAAGUUGAUGCCCACAAUCAAAACCAGUUUCCCCUUGUGGAAAGCAGCCAGCCAGCCAGCCCGCCCACCAGCCAGCCAGCCAGCCAUCCAGCCAGCCCGCCAGCCAGCCAUCC